AGAGUUUGAUCCUGGCUCAGAACGAACGCUGGCGGCAUGCCUUAUACAUGCAAGUCGAACGAGAAAGUCACUUCGGUGGCGAGUACAGUGGCGCACGGGUGAGUAACGCGUAGAUGAUCUACCCUUCAGUCUGGGACAACUCUUGGAAACGGGAGCUAAUACCGGAUAAAACCUUCGGGUUGAAAGAUUUAUCGCUGGGGGAUGAGUCUGCGUACCAUUAGCUUGUUGGUGGGGUAACGGCCUACCAAGGCGACGAUGGUUAGCGGGUCUGAGAGGACGAUCCGCCACACUGGAACUGAGACACGGUCCAGACUCCUACGGGAGGCAGCAGUAGGGAAUAUUGCGCAAUGGGGGCAACCCUGACGCAGCAAUGCCGCGUGAGUGAAGAAGGCCUUCGGGUCGUAAAGCUCUUUUAUGGGGGAAGAUGAUGACGGUACCCCAUGAAUAAGCACCGGCUAACUAUGUGCCAGCAGCCGCGGUAAUACGUAGGGUGCGAGCGUUGUUCGGAAUUACUGGGCGUAAAGGGCGUGCAGGCGGAUUGGCAAGCCGGAGGUGAAAGCCCGGGGCUCAACCCCGGAGGGUCUUUCGGAACUGCCAGUCUUGAGAGGGUCAGGGGCCAGCGGAAUUCCUGGUGUAGAGGUGAAAUUCGUAGAGAUCAGGAGGAACACCGGCGGCGAAGGCGGCUGGCUGGGGCCACUCUGACGCUGAGGCGCGAAAGCGUGGGGAGCAAACAGGAUUAGAUACCCUGGUAGUCCACGCCGUAAACGAUGGGCACUAAGCGUCCGACGGGUUCGACCCUGUUGGGUGCUGCAGUUAACGCGUUAAGUGCCCCGCCUGGGGAGUACGGUCGCAAGACUAAAACUCAAAGGAAUUGAC
rnacentral:rRNA from 1 species